GAGAACGGUCAUUUUUAAGAAUAUGUCCUGGAAAUACUUCUCAUAGCCCAAAGAAAGAAGGGACAGUGGCUCAACUCGCAAAGAAAUCAAAAAAUCUUUCUACUCAGUCAUUACAAGAGAAUCAGUAGCUUUCAUUGCUGAUGGCUCAGAGGAAUGGUCAAUAACAAAGGGAACAAUGUCAGCUAACAAGACCAAGCAGAGUAAUGCGAUCAUGUAUACCUCCUGCCUGACAGUACCCUGUUCCCAGUGGGAGAACAUUUUUCACAAAAGAACUUUGACCUCUCAGCCCACAGCCUCAAAGAGACCACAAAAUACCUUCAACAGCUGAGCCUGGGAACAAAAAUUCAGAACUGCUGUACAUACUAGAAAUCAU